GGAUUCCCCUAGUAACUGCGAGUGAAGCGGGAAAAGCUCAAAUUUAAAAUCUGGCAGUCUCUGGCUGUCCGAGUUGUAAUCUAGAGAAGUAAUGCCCGUGCUGGACCGUGUAUAAGUCUCCUGGGAUGGGGCGUCAUAGAGGGUGAGAAUCCCGUCUUUGACACGGACUACCAGUGCAUUGUGGUAUGCUCUCAAAGAGUCGAGUUGUUUGGGAAUGCAGCUCAAAAUGGGUGGUAAAUUCCAUCUAAAGCUAAAUAUUGGCGAGAGACCGAUAGCGAACAAGUACCGUGAGGGAAAGAUGAAAAGAACUUUGGAAAGAGAGUUAAACAGUACGUGAAAUUGCUGAAAGGGAAACGCUUGAAGUCAGUCGCGUUGGCUGGAAAUCAGCCUUGCUUUUGCAUGGUGUACUUUCUGGUUGACGGGUCAGCAUCAAUUUUGACCGCUGGAAAAAGGCCUGGGGAAUGUGGCAGCUUCGGCUGUGUUAUAGCCCCUAGUCACAUACAGUGGUUGGGAUUGAGGAACUCAGCACGCCGCAAGGCCGGGUUUCGACCACGAYCGUGCUUAGGAUGCUGGCAUAAUGGCUUUAAGCGACCCGUCUUGAAACACGGACCAAGGAGUCUAACAUGCCUGCGAGUAUUUGGGUGGAAAACUCAAGUGCGUAAUGAAAGUGAAAGUUGAGAUCCCUGUCGUGGGGAGCAUCGACGCCCGGACCAGAACUUUUGGGACGGAUCCGCGGUGGAGCAUGUAUGUUGGGACCCGAAAGAUGGUGAACUAUGCCUGAAUAGGGUGAAGCCAGAGGAAACUCUGGUGGAGGCUCGUAGCGAUUCUGACGUGCAAAUCGAUCGUCAAAUUUGGGUAUAG
rnacentral:rRNA from 1 species